rnacentral:rRNA from 1 species
GUGCUUAACACAUGCAAGUCGAACGGAAAGGCCCUUCGGGGUACUCGAGUGGCGAACGGGUGAGUAACACGUGGGUGAUCUGCCCUGCACUUUGGGAUAAGCCUGGGAAACUGGGUCUAAUACCGGAUAGGACCACGCGCUUCAUGGUGUGUGGUGGAAAGCUUUUGCGGUGUGGGAUGGGCCCGCGGCCUAUCAGCUUGUUGGUGGGGUAAUGGCCUACCAAGGCGACGACGGGUAGCCGGCCUGAGAGGGUGACCGGCCACACUGGGACUGAGAUACGGCCCAGACUCCUACGGGAGGCAGCAGUGGGGAAUAUUGCACAAUGGGCGCAAGCCUGAUGCAGCGACGCCGCGUGAGGGAUGACGGCCUUCGGGUUGUAAACCUCUUUCAAUAGGGACGAAGCGCAAGUGACGGUACCUAUAGAAGAAGGACCGGCCAACUACGUGCCAGCAGCCGCGGUAAUACGUAGGGUCCGAGCGUUGUCCGGAAUUACUGGGCGUAAAGAGCUCG